rnacentral:rRNA from 1 species
GACGAACGCUGGCGGCAUGCCUAAUACAUGCAAGUCGAGCGAACAGAUGAAGUGCUUGCACUUCUGACGUUAGCGGCGAACGGGUGAGUAACACGUAAGGAAUCUACCUAUAAGCGGGGGAUAACAUUCGGAAACGGGUGCUAAUACCGCAUAAUAUCUUCUUCCGCUGGAAGAAGAUUGAAAGACGGCUCUGCUGUCACUUAUAGAUGACCUUGCGGUGCAUUAGUUAGUUGGUGGGGUAACGGCCUACCAAGACGAUGAUGCAUAGCCGACCUGAGAGGGUGAUCGGCCAGAUUGGGACUGAGACACGGCCCAAACUCCUACGGGAGGCAGCAGUAGGGAAUCUUCCGCAAUGGGCGAAAGCCUGACGGAGCAAUGCCGCGUGAGUGAAGAAGGCCUUCGGGUCGUAAAACCCUGUUAUAAGAGAAGAACAAAUUGUAGAGUAACUGCUACAGUCUUGACGGUAUCUUAUCAGAAAGCCACGGCUAACUACGUGCCAGCCGCCGCCGUAA